UUGGGCUUCCUGGCUUCAUCUCCUUCACGCCGCUAGAGUUCGCGUUCUUCCAUAAGCGAUCAUUCAAUUGUCUCCUUCCUUCCUCAAAUACUACGAAUCCAGACCUAUAAAUAAGGGUUCUCGGCCUAUCUGAUUCAUCAGCUUCUCCUUCUCGCAUCACUAAAAUCUUUAGAAACCCUCACACCAGGAAUGGCUGUCCCAACGACUUUGCUCGCCGACUUCAAAGCUGGACGCCAUUCCAACACCAUCAAAGUCCGAAUGUUUAGAUUCUGGGAAGUCCGAAAGCUUAAGAAAGGCGCGAACUCAUGACCUAAGUGUUUCAUGGGUGUCACAUGCUCCUCAGCUUUUGUAAACUGGGAAAACACUGAAACAGUUCGAGAAAAAGAGUUGCAGAGCUAAGGGUCUGACCUUCCACCUCAAAAGACCAUGUAAUCUCACUCCAUAGCCUUUCUUCCUCUCAAGAGGACUACAACUGUUUGUCUCAGUGCUUUUGGUGUUCAGGCCAGUCAACUUCACCAGAACCUAUUUAGGGUACGUGUGGAGCCUACGGUCAUUGUUGCUACCAGAAUUAGUCCCACGUUUGUUGGAGGUCGCCUAUUAAUGAUGAUUCAAGUGUAUAUUUUUUGGAACUUGCAAAUAAAUAGAUGUUGACUUGACCAACUGCUGGUUUGGCUGAGUCUGGAGCUAGCUGCUCCACAAGUACUACUAAAUAUGGUGGUGUAAAGAAAACUGAGUCUGUUAUGGUGUCCGAGCUAAAUGCAUAUGCUCUCAAUGCUUCUAGCAGUGUGACAUAUUGUAAUGUCUGUUGACAGGGCGGAAAUAACCACCCCAGUGGUGAUGCUACGCGUGGUGCUAUAUGUGUGUCUGCAUCUGUUCAGAUGGUCAGAAGUUAACAGAAACUGACAUAGCUAUCGGCAGUGGUGAAGUCCCGGUGAAACCACAACGCCUCUACUGAAUCAAACCACAACAGCUUCUCAAACAACUCUGGCGAAAGCUUAGCUGCAUAAGUUACUCAUAUGAAUAGUUUCCUGCAUUUUCUGAAACUUCGUUUGCAUGGUCUUUUUCAAAACAUUGUUUGAUCUCGAUUUCAUGUUUCUACCUUAUUUAUCGAUAAUAUUUCAAUAUUGGA